AUGAUUGGCGGGGCGGGGCGGCAGCGGCAUGACGGUGCGGUGGCGCGGCCGCGACGCAGGUUUGAAGCCGCUGGUGGCGAGGAGGAGGGAGGGGAGGCCACGACGGCGAGCGCGGGGUGCAUGUGCCGGUCGUGCGCGGCGGUGGCCGUGGCGGACUGCGUGGCGCUGGCGUGCUGCCCCUGCGCGGUCGUCAGCCUGCUCGGCCUGGCGCUCGUCAGGGCGCCCCUCGCCGUCGGCAGGCUGGUGAUCAGGGCCAGGCGGAGGCGGCGGGCGCUGCUGCGCGGCAAGCGGGUGCCCGACGUGGCCGCCGCCGCGGCUCUCCCGGCGCCGGGCGACGACGACCGCGAGAAGGGCGCGGUGAAGGAGGGCGGCGUCGGCGGCGUGCAGACCACGGCGACGAGUACGGGCGGCGAGGUGGGAGUCGGCGAUGAUCACGAGGCGGAGCUGGCGUGGCUGGAGGAGAUGUACCGGACGGGGCGCUGGGGCUUCGGCCGCGUCUCCUUCUCGGCCAAAACCCCGUGA
rnacentral:rRNA from 1 species